UACGGAGGGUGCUAGCGUUAUUCGGAAUUACUGGGCGUAAAGCGCACGUAGGCGGCUUUGUAAGUUAGAGGUGAAAGCCUGGAGCUCAACUCCAGAACUGCCUUUAAGACUGCAUCGCUUGAAUCCAGGAGAGGUGAGUGGAAUUCCGAGUGUAGAGGCGAAAUUCGUAGAUAUUCGGAAGAACACCAGUGGCGAAGGCGGCUCACUGGACUGGUAUUGACGCUGAGGUGCGAAAGCGUGGGGAGCAAACAGG
rnacentral:rRNA from 1 species